rnacentral:rRNA from 1 species
UACGAAGGGGGCUAGCGUUGUUCGGAAUUACUGGGCGUAAAGGGCGCGUAGGCGGUGCAUCAAGUCAGGCGUGAAAGCCCCGGGCUCAACCUGGGAAUUGCAUUCGAGACUGAAUAGCUAGGGUACGGUAGAGGGAAGUGGAAUUUCCGGUGUAGCGGUGAAAUGCGUAGAUAUCGGAAGGAACAUCAGUGGCGAAAGCGACUUCCUGGACCAGUACCGACGUUCAGGCACGAAAGCGUGGGGAGCAAACAGG